GACAUAAAAAUUAGUAUCUGUAUUUGCAGUAUGGAAUAUGUAAGUAAAUAUCAGACCAUUGUCUAAUGGCAUAUUUUUUCAUUAUUAGUCAACAGGGACUACAUAAGAGGUAAUACAGCACUUAAAAUGCCACAGAAAGAACCACAAGAUGCCUUGAUAGAUCACAUUUCAGCUCACAUCUCUGGUGCAGUAAAAUUCCUAAAGAAGAGGAAAAACCUUAAAAGGCAGGGGAGAGAAAGAAGUUAAAGGUUGCAGCGACAUUGAGUCAGCAGUUAAAGAUUACCAAAUACUAAAUCAUGCCUUCACCCUGAUGGCUGAAGACUACAAGCAACAACCCCCCUGAAGAUUGCAGACCACAAAGCCAGAAGAUCACCUCCUACCAAUCCCAGCCUGCCAAUGGGACAAGAAGGAUGACCUUCAUGUCUGACUCAGUGGAAUCUAUAGGCUUGUAUGGACAGCUAUCACUAUAAAGAAUGAACACAAAGAAAAGGCUUUGGGUCUGUCUACCUGCAAGAUGGAGUUUUGGGUGCGUCCAACAAGACCUGACUCCAUUCCUUGUGUUCAGUCCAGCUGGCCACCAGACUGACCCGAGCAUCUUUAGAACUUGGUAACAGCUUAACCUUUGCAGGACUGUCUAACUAUCUGUGUCUGUGCUUGUUUCUUUUGUAUGAAAGAACAAAAGAAUGAGUAUGUAUGGGAAUGAGUGAAGCGGAUAACCAUAUUGUUCUUUAUUCUUUUUAUGUUGUAUGUUUUAUGUUCCAAUAAAUGUGGCAUU